AGGAGAUGGAGCUAAUUGAUGAUGAUGAAGGAAGAAGUGAGGUAGAGGAUGAAACAUAUGAAGAACUUGGAGAAGCAAUGCAAGAGGAGUCACCAGAAGCAACACAAGUACCACCACUUGACACUGCACUUAUUUCCCUACCAGAGAGGAAGAAAUCACUGAAGAUACCUUCUGUUAAAGGUAAAACACGUGUACCGAAAAGAAGAAAAGCUUGGGAAGUGACCGAGAUCCAGGCCGUGGAAAGACACCUGAAAAACUUUAUCACUUCAUGCCGUGUCCCAGGGAAGCUACCUUGCGAACAGUGCAUAAGAGCUGAGCCUUCAGCGCUUAAAAACAGAGAUUGGCAGAGUGUCAAAUUCUAUGUUCACAAUCGCAUUGUG
ensembl:lncRNA